ensembl:lncRNA
AUGGGAGGAGGCCUGUUCGGAGGACUACAUCCCCCAGAGGCCCUCGCGGGGGGAGCCCGAGCCCCCCUCCCUCCCCUCCCGCAUUGUGUCUGCGAGGAGGCCUUUCUCCCUGGCCGCCUUCUGCGUCUGCGUGGGCCCGUGUGCGCCGUGUGGACGACGGGCUUUGCCUCUCUUCCGAGCCGCUUUCGGCCUCUUCGACUAGGCCGCCGCCAUUUCUCCAACUGCAGCCAACGGGCCUUUUCUUCGCUGAGGACCGUUGGAGGAAGACCCGGAUCGCGAAUCGUCCCCACAAGAUUCAUCACAAAAGCAGAGAAGACUCUGAGGGAGGAAGAUAGUAGAUACACCUCUCAGACCUAUAUAUCUAUAUCUCAGUCCUCAGGAAACGCUGCAGCCCUGAGAGACUUGAUUCGAACGUCUGGAUGCGCCAACGCGUGUCUUUCUUCUGCUUUUCACGUGUUUACCCAGGUCGGAUAUCGAAAUUAUCGACUUUUUAUUUUUAUUUUUUCUUGGGGUGACUCCAAAUUUCACCCCGAAAGGGUUUUUUUCAGUCCACACACACACACAUACAAAAAGAGACCCAGAAGCAAGAAAAAGGAACCCAAGGAUACAAGGCAGGAGAAGGAUCAGCAUCUGCUUCCAACCAAAGUAGGAGAGUCAAAAGGGUUGGGUGUUGAGGAACCAGAGCUCAUCUGCAAAAUUGAGCCAGAGGAAGAGCGAUGGAACGCAAAUGAACAAGCUGCUAAAGAGCGGCAAAUCUUACCCGGAAGCAAGUCAGCUGCAGCCACUGAAACUCCAGAGGCCACCAUAGCCCCCUACCGACAGUACCGGGGCACCACAUGGACCUAUCCCGAGGUCAUUGAUCUCCUGGUCAUCUGGCGGGAGCGGGAGAUCCAGCAGGAGCUCCUGAGGAGCCACCGAAACCUCGAAACCUUUCAGGCCGUUGCCACCAAGAUGGCUAAGAAAGGCCACAAGCGCUCAGCGCUGGAGUGUCGGUCGAAAAUCAAAACGUUAAGGCGAGACUAUCGGAUAGCGAAGGCCAACAACUCUCCAGGGAAGGGGCACCUGGCAUGGCUUUUCUACGAUCGGCUCGACCACUUGCUGGAAAAUGACACUGACAUCUCGCCUCCGGAGAAACUGGCCGGCUUAAGUCAGCACCGGGCGUCUAUGGCAGACUCCACGUCUCAGUGUUCCACAGAGGAAGAAGUAGUGGCCGUGGGAGAGGGGACUAAGAAAGGCAGUCCAGGCGACCAGGAGGUGGUGGUCCUGGGGAUGGACUCGCCAGGCGAGACCUCUGGUAUGGGAGAUGGGUAUCCUGUGCGGUGUAUCAAGGAAGAAGCCCCUGAUGAAAUGCCAGUCACACUGCCCAUGGAAGUCCACAGCCCGAUUCUCCUACUGCCUUCUGUUCCCUGUGAUAAACCAAGCAGCUCUGCCUCAACACCAGAUGGGGCUGUAUCUCCCUCCCCUAGCCCCAUACCUGCCCCUGCAAGGUCUUUUGCCGCUGAGCGCCUGGACAACAUCCGGAAGCGGAAGAGGAGAAACAGGCAAGACAUGGCCCUGGAGAUUACUCAGGCGGCUGAUAGGCGGGUCGAAAUGGCCACUGACCGGAUCCUGACAGCUCUCGGAGAAUAUGCCAAGGCGGAUCUGGAGGACCGCGAGCGGGAUCGCAUGGACACAGAACAGAUCAUUGCACUCAUGAACCGCCAGACAGAACUCCUGGAGUCACUGGUACGAAAGCAGACUGAGGCCCGGAUCCCACGCCUCGCGCAGCCGAACCAUCCGGCAGAACCUUCGACCCUGCGCUUGGGCAUCGCCAGGCGGCAUGCAGCCAAGGCCAAGCUCAGCCGAUGACUCCGGAGUUGUCGGCCCAGCUUUAAGACAACAGGCUUUCCCGUGACUUGGUAGCAUGCAGGACUUGGGGGAGGGUACCUUUGUAAGAGGGUUGUGGCUUUAUCUUUCAGGGAUUUUUUGUUCCCACCCCUUUUUACAGUGAAUUGAUUUAUUUGCCAAUUGUAUAAAAAGAACAAAAAAAUUAAAUAGGAACACAACGUGCUUUUUAAAAACAUGACGGUUACGUUUUAUUUAUGUUCCACCUUUCAUCUACAUGGAUCCAAGGUGAUGACGGAGAGGGAAACCACGAGGUGUAUUUAUAACCAUUUUAAUACUCAAUAUACAAGUGGGUCUGUGGCAUAGACGUUGCUGUAUUGCAUUUCAUCAUCCCUGACUAUUGGCUGUGCUGGCUAAGACUGUUGGAAUUGCAGUCCAGCAGUAUGUGGAGGGCAACGCAGUUCUCCAAUCCUGGUAAAAAAGUCUCUUAAGAAUAUAGGUCUCUUGACUCAAUUCAGUACCAGCCGCUGAGAUGCUGUAACUGGACCACUGAGCCUUGUACCUUGGUGAUAACCUGGGCUGUGUGGGUCCUUGUGGACAGAUCAAAACUGCGGAAAGAGAACAGCCAGCUGAGGUGGUUUCUCAGAGUUGCAUCCAAAAUAAUAAUAAUAAAAUUAUUAUUAUUAUUAAUUGCAAAAUAAUAAUUAUUAUUUUCAAUUGCAACUCUGAGAAACCACCUUAGUUGGAUGUUCUCUUUCCACAGCUUUGAUCUGUUCACAAGCACCUCUACAUCCCAGGUUGCAAUCCCAGAUGAUAGCAGGAUUCACGAGCAGCAACUAGAAAAGCUUACACGAUAUGAUUUAAAGAUUGAACUGCAAAGACUCUGGCAGAAGCUAGUAAAGCUGGUCUCAGUGGUGAUCGGCACACUGGGUGCAAUGCCUAAAGACCUUGGCCAGGACUUGAAAAAAAUCGGUGCUGACAAAAUUACCAUCUGUCCGCUGCAAAAGGCCACCAUACUUGGAUCUGAAUGAAUUAUUCGCCAAUACAUCACAGUCCUAGACACUUGGGAAGUGUCCGACAUGUGAUCCAAUACAAAAGUCAGCAUAGUGAUCUUGUUUCCUGUGUACUAAUCUUGUUGUGUAUUAAAUAAUAAUCAUAAUAGCAGCAGCAGCAACAACGUUAUUUGUUCCCCACCUUUCUGCAUGGCUCGAGGAAAAGUACAACAUAGUCAAAACACACAGAUAAAAUACAAUUAAAAUAAAUAUACAGGCAGUUCCCAAGUUACAAACAUCUGACUUACAAACAGCUCAUAGUUAAGAACAGGGGUGAGACAACAGGAAGUGGUAGAAAUCUACCCCUCAGAAGGGGGAAUUCACUCCUUUAAGAGUUCUCAUGGGGGAAGGGUGUCUCAACUGCAGUUUUAUCAUCAAUCCUUGUUUUUAUAACAGGUAAAUUUUUUAAAAAUCCAACUGUCACAGGGACAGAAAGCGAGGUAAAAUCUAAACGGGCACAGGGAACAAAACAAAUGCCACAGGGGUGUUGACCCUUCCCUAUGCUAUUCAAAUAUAUGUGGCUGGAGUUACACAUUAAAAAAUGUACCUGUUCUGACUUACAAAUUAACUUAUGAACAAACUUAUAGAACUUACCUUGUUCAUAAUUUGGGGGUUGACUCUAGUAAAAUACAUAGAACAAAUAGUAAUAAAAUUUAAAAUUAAUAAUUUGACAGGGUAGAUGUGCUGGAAGAGAGAAAUCUUUUGUGUUUUAAAUUUUAACAGCUCCGUUGGCUGUCAGAUCACUUCCAGCAGGUUAUUCCAUGGUCUUGGGGCAGCUGAUGAAAAAGUCCUCUGUGUGACAGUCACUAGUCAGGUUCUGGCUGGAUGGAGUAAAGGGCAAAUUGUAUGGAAGAAGGUGAUCUUGAAGUAACCUGGACCCAAACCAUGUAGGGCUUUAAAGAUAGUGACCAACACUUUGUUCUUUGCCCAGAAACUAAUUGGCAACCAGUGGAGUGGUUUUAGUAUAGGUGUAAUAUGAUCACUCCUAGAUGUUCCUAUAACUACUCUGGCUGCUGUGUUUUAAAUGAACUGGAGUUUUUGAACUUGAUCCAGAGGUAGCCCAAUGUAAAGUGCAUUGCAGAAGUCCAACCUUGAGGUGACCAGCGCAUGUGGUACCACUUGAGAUAGCUUUCCCAAACUGUGUGCAUAGCAGGUAGCACAGCAGGGAAAGGAUCUUUAUGAGAGUCCUCAUUUUGACAGGGGAGUUAUGAGAAGAGCUUAUGAGAUCUAGAUCAGGCAUGGCAAGACUUAAUAUAGCAACAUAUGGCAAAUUUAUGAGAUUGGUUUUGGGCUUUUCUCCCCCGAGAAUCCUGAGAUCCAACAAAGUAGAACUGUGUGCAAAAUGAAAUCUCCUCCUAUCAAGUUUAGAAUUAAAGAACAGGGCAUUUCAGAGCAAUAAUUCAUUUCCAGUAGUAGAAUUAAUCUUAUAGUCCUUUAACAUCUAAAUCCAUUCCUGGUCACACACAUCUGCUUUUUUUAUUCCAUAUCAGCAACCUAGUUGAGAGGUGGGAAAUGAUUACAGCAGUAGAAAUUGGAAGUAAAUAUGUAAUGCUUUACUGAAAAUCUUGAGAUCGACCAUUACAUUCUUACUGUCUGUCUGCUUCUACCUUCAAUCUUUCUACAAAGCACUAUGAAUCAACUAGGGAAAAAUGCAUGUGGGGUCAUCGCUUUCACGAAUUGUGCUAGGGAGGGUUAAUGUUUCAGAAACCUCACAUGCUGCUCCUUUUAAUGCCUCAGGCAGAGAAAGUGAGAAACAACAAGUUUCUGUCCUUUUAUGACAGACCAGAUUUGCUGCCUAAAGCAGCCCCUUUCUUUCCACUUAAUGAUCUGCUAUUCAGGAACACAGGAAUGUGGGAUUAGUUUGACACAACCUGUUUUUGAGAAACACCUGAUGGCUCUUAGUUACUAGCUUUCCUUUCCAAAUGGGCACAGACUAACUGUUUAAUGAUCUAGACUGGAACAUUUAUAUUAUAGUCAUCGAACCAACAGGUUACAGUUGCCAGAUCCUCUUUUUAAAGAUGGGGGCAACGUUCAUCGUCCUCCAGUCUGCUUCGACUUCUUCAGUCCUCUUAGAAUUAUUCUAUCAAAGAUUAUGGACAGUGGCUCUGAAAUUACAUCUGCAAGUUCCUUUAUCAUUCCUGGAGGCAGCCCAUCUAGCCACAGAAACUUGAAUUAGUUUAGAAUAACUAAAGUAGCUUUUGUUGACCAUGUCUCUACUGCAGGUCUAUUCCCAACUGGUUAUCAGUCUGAUUUUUGUAAUCCAUCCUUCAUCUACCACUAAUUGAUUUUAAGGAGGUGGAGAUUUAUUUAUUUAUUAUUUAUUAACCCCAUUUAUACCCCACCCUUCUCCACCCCGAAGGGGACGCAAAGCGGCUUACACAUGGCAACUAUUCAGUGCCUCACUACAUACAAAAAGCUUAAAAUAAAUCAAAUUAAAAUUAUUACAUUAUCAACAGUUAAAAAACAAUACAUUCAACAUUAAAACCAUGUCAUCCAAACCAUAGUCCGAGGCCUUUUGGUAAUCAUUUCACAUAUGCUAGGUCCAUUUUUGCACUAAAUUAUUUCCCAAAAGCCUGGUCCCAUAACCAAGUUUUCGCUUUCCUUCUGAAGGUUAGAAGGGAGGGGGCUGAUCUAAUAUCGCUAGGGAGGGGCCACCACUGAGAAGGCCCUGUCUCUCAUCCCCGCCAGCUGCACUUACGAAGCGGACGGGACUGAGAGCAGGGCCUCCACAGAUGAUCUUAAUCUUCGUAGAGGGAGAUACGUACAGACAGGUAAGCUGGGCCAGAACCGUUUGGUGAUUUAUAGGCUAUAAAGAGCACUUUGAAUUGUGCUCAGAAACAAACUGGCAGCCAGCGCAGCUGGCACAACAGGGGAGGUGUGUGCUUCCUGAAUGCCAUUCCGGUGAGCAUCCUGGCUGCUGCCCGUUGGACCAGUUGAAGCUUCCGAACAGUCUUCAAAGUCAACCCCAAGUAGAGCAUGUUGCAGUAAUCUAUACGGGAUGUAAUGAGCUUGGAUCACCGUGGCCGAGUUCAUCCCUUUUCAUCAUGGUGUUCUAAUCAUCCCUGGAAAAUUUCAGAAAGUAUAAUUUUAAUAAGUUAACUUUUCCAAAUCCUGGUCUUACUCUUUGUCAUAAUCCUGUACUCAAAUAUUUGCAUAGAUUAAUACCGAGACAAGGAAGUCCCCAGUGGUGCAGUGUGUUAAAGCGCUGAGCUGCUGAACUUGCAGAACAAAAGGUUGCAGGUUCAAAUCCCUGGAGCGGAGUGAGCGGCCACUGUUAGCUCCAGCUUCUGCCAACCUA